GAGGGUAUAGCUCAAGUGGUAGAGCACAUGCUUAGCAUGCACAAGGUCUUCGGUUCAAUCCCCAGUACCUCCU
rnacentral:tRNA from 1 species